AAUAGAUACCCUGGUAGUCCAUGCCGUAAACGAUGUCUACUAGCCGUUGGGGCCUUUGAGGCUUUAGUGGCGCAGCUAACGCGAUAAGUAGACCGCCUGGGGAGUACGGUCGCAAGACUAAAACUCAAAUGAAUUGACGGGGGCCCGCACAAGCGGUGGAGCAUGUGGUUUAAUUCGAUGCAACGCGAAGAACCUUACCUGGUCUUGACAUAGUAAGAACUUUCCAGAGAUGGAUUGGUGCCUUCGGGAACUUACAUACAGGUGCUGCAUGGCUGUCGUCAGCUCGUGUCGUGAGAUGUUGGGUUAAGUCCCGCAACGAGCGCAACCCUUUUCCUUAUUUGCCAGCGGGUUAAGCCGGGAACUUUAAGAAUACUGCCAGUGACAAACUGGAGGAAGGCGGGGUACGACGUCAAGUCAUCAUGGCCCUUACGACCAGGGCUACACACGUGCUACAAUGGUCGGUACAAAGGGUUGCUACCUAGCGAUAGGAUGCUAAUCUCAAAAAGCCGAUCGUAGUCCGGAUUGGAGUCUGCAACUCGACUCC
rnacentral:rRNA from 1 species